UGGGGAAUAUUGGACAAUGGGCGCAAGCCUGAUCCAGCAAUGCCGCGUGUGUGAAGAAGGCCUUCGGGUUGUAAAGCACUUUUAUCAGGAGCGAAACGCUGUCGGCUAAUACCCGGCGGAACUGACGGUACCUGAGGAAUAAGCACCGGCUAACUUCGUGCCAGCAGCCGCGGUAAUACGAAGGGUGCAAGCGUUAAUCGGAAUUACUGGGCGUAAAGCGUGCGUAGGCGGUUUCUUAAGUCUGCUGUGAAAUCCCCGGGCUCAACCUGGGAAUGGCAGUGGAUACUGGGAGGCUAGAGUGUGUCAGAGGGUGGUGGAAUUCCCGGUGUAGCGGUGAAAUGCGUAGAGAUCGGGAGGAACAUCAGUGGCGAAGGCGGCCACCUGGGACAACACUGACGCUGAGGCACGAAAGCGUGGGGAGCAAACAGGAUUAGAUACCCUGGUAGUCCACGCCCUAAAACGAUGCGAACUGGAUGUUGGUCUCAACUCGGAGAUCAGUGUCGAAGCUAACGCGUUAAGUUCGCCGCCUGGGGAGUACGGUCGCAAGACUGAAACUCAAAGGAAUUGAC
rnacentral:rRNA from 1 species